CUCCUCGCGUUCCCACGGGGGGGCGCCCGGGCUGCGCUUGUCUGGGGCGCCUGACGCCCGACGCCCGACGCCAGUCACGGCAGCGCCAGCGACCGGGGCGCCCGUUAGUUCAACACAGAUUUGUUUGUUGUUAUUUAUUUAUUUGACACGGAGUCACGCUCUGUCCCCAGGCCGGAGUGCAGUGGCGCGAUCUCGGCUCGCCGCAACGUCCGCCUCCCGGGUUCAAGCGAUUCUCCUGCCUCAGCCUCCUGAGUAGCUGGGACCACAGGCGCGCGCCACCACGCUUGGCUUAUUAUUAUUAUUUUUAAUUUUUUAAUUUUUUUUUUUUUUGUAUUUUUAGUAGAGACGGGGUUUCACCAUGCAUGCCAGGCUGGUCUCGAACUCCUGACCUCAGGUGAUCCACCCGCCUUGGCCUCCCAAAGUGCUGGGAAUCACAGACGGGAGCCACCGCGCCCCGCAUUUUUUUUUUUUGGUAUUUUUAGUAGAGAUGGAAUUUCGCAACGUUGGCCAGGCUGGUCUCGAACUCGUGACCUCAGGUGAUCCAUCUGCCUCACUCUUGUUAUUAUUUUGACACAGGAUCUCACUUUGUGGCCCAGGCUGGAGAGCAGCGGCGCGAUCUCGGCUCACCGCCACCUCUUCCUCCCAAGAGCUCAAGCGAUCCUCCCGCCUCGACCUCCCAAAGUGUUGGUGCCACAGGCACGCGUCACGCGCCGGCCAGCGGAUCUUUAUUGAGUGCCUGCUGCAUGCCAAGCGUUGUUUCCGGUGCCAAGGAGACAGCAGAGUGCAAGACAGAGUCAGGCUGGAGUGCAAUGGUGCCAUCUCAACUCACUGCAACUUCCGCCUCCCGGGUUCAAGUAAUUCUCCUGCCUCAGCCUCUGGAGCAGCUGGGAGUACAGGCAUGCGCCACUGAGCCCAGUUAAUUUAUGUAUUUUUAGUAGAGAUGGGGUUUCACCAUGUUGGCAAGGAUGGUCUCUAUCUCUUGACCUCAUGAUCUGCCCACCUUGGCCUCCCAAAGUGCUGGGAUGACAGGUGCACCCGGACAAAGGUUCUCACGUCUUUCAGGCGUUCGCUAAUGUUUCACUUCUUUGGUGGGUGGGUGGAGGGGCCUCCCAGGCCACUCUGCCCUGAAGUUUCAUUUCUGUGAUCGUGUCCCUGCACUCCGGCCUGAGCACAGAAUGAGAUCCUGUCUCAAAAAUAAAUAAAAGAGAGACGUGUGUGUUCA